rnacentral:rRNA from 1 species
UAAGUGCUGAAAGCAUCUAAGCACGAAACUUGCCCCGAGAUGAGUCUUCCCUGAGACUUUGAGUCUCCUGAAGGAACGUUAAAGACGAUGACGUUGAUAGGCCGGGUGUGUAAGCGCAGCGAUGCGUUGAGCUAACCGGUACUAAUGAACCGUGAGGCUUAACCUU